GACGGAGGAUGCAAGUGUUAUCCGGAAUCACUGGGCGUAAAGCGUCUGUAGGUGGUCAAAUAAGUCAACUGUUAAAUCUUGAGGCUCAACCUCAAAAUCGCAGUCGAAACUAUUAGAUUAGAGUAUAGUAGGGGUAAAGGGAAUUUCCGGUGGAGCGGUGAAAUGCGUAGAGAUCGGAAAGAACACCAACGGCGAAAGCACUCUGCUGGGCCGACACUGACACUGAGAGACGAAAGCUAGGGGAGCGAAUGGG
rnacentral:rRNA from 1 species